ACGCACGCUGGCGGCAGGCUUAACACAUGCAAGUCGAGCGCAUCCUUCGGGGUGAGCGGCCGACGGGUGAGUAACGCGUGGGAAUCUACCUUUUGCUACGGAAUAGCUCCGGGAAACUGGAAUUAAUACCGUAUGUGCCCUUAGGGGGAAAGAUUUAUCGGCAAGAGAUGAGCCCGCGUUGGAUUAGCUAGUUGGUGGGGUAUAGGCCUACCAAGGCGACGAUCCAUAGCUGGUCUGAGAGGAUGAUCAGCCACAUUGGGACUGAGACACGGCCCAAACUCCUACGGGAGGCAGCAGUGGGGAAUAUUGGACAAUGGGCGCAAGCCUGAUCCAGCCAUGCCGCGUGAGUGAUGAAGGCCUUAGGGUUGUAAAGCUCUUUCACCGGAGAAGAUAAUGACGGUAGCCGGAGAAGAAGCCCCGGCUAACUUCGUG
rnacentral:rRNA from 1 species